rnacentral:rRNA from 1 species
ACGGGAGGCAGCAGUGGGAAUAUUGCACAAUGGGCGCAAGCCUGAUGCAGCCAUGCCGCGUGUAUGAAGAAGGCCUUCGGGUUGUAAAGUACUUUCAGUCGUGAGGAAGGUGGUGUUGUUAAUAGCAGCAUCAUUUGACGUUAGCGACAGAAGAAGCACCGGCUAACUCCGUGCCAGCAGCCGCGGUAAUACGGAGGGUGCGAGCGUUAAUCGGAAUUACUGGGCGUAAAGCGCAUGCAGGUGGUGGAUUAAGUCAGAUGUGAAAGCCCGGGGCUCAACCUCGGAACCGCAUUUGAAACUGGUUCACUAGAGUACUGUAGAGGGGGGUAGAAUUUCAGGUGUAGCGGUGAAAUGCGUAGAGAUCUGAAGGAAUACCGGUGGCGAAGGCGGCCCCCUGGACAGAUACUGACACUCAGAUGCGAAAGCGUGGGGAGCAAACAGGAUUAGAUACCCUGGUAGUCCACGCCGUAAACGAUGUCUACUUGGAGGUUGUGGCCUUGAGCCGUGGCUUUCGGAGCUAACGCGUUAAGUAGACCGCCUGGGGAGUACGGUCGCAAGAUUAAAACUCAAAUGAAUUGACGGGGGCCCGCACAAGCGGUGGAGCAUGUGGUUUAAUUCGAUGCAACGCGAAGAACCUUACCUACUCUUGACAUCUACAGGAUCCUGCGGAGACGCGGGAGUGCCUUCGGGAACUGUAAGACAGGUGCUGCAUGGCUGUCGUCAGCUCGUGUUGUGAAAUGUUGGGUUAAGUCCCGCAACGAGCGCAACCCUUAUCCUUGUUUGCCAGCAAGUAAUGGUGGGAACUCCAGGGAGACUGCCGGUGAUAAACCGGAGGAAGGUGGGGACGACGUCAAGUCAUCAUGGCCCUUACGAGUAGGGCUACACACGUGCUACAAUGGCGCAUACAGAGGGCAGCAAGCUAGCGAUAGUGAGCGAAUCCCAAAAAGUGCGUCGUAGUCCGGAUUGGAGUCUGCAACUCGACUCCAUGAAGUCGGAAUCGCUAGUAAUCGUAGAUCAGAAUGCUACGGUGAAUACGUUCCCGGGCCUUGUACACACCGCCCGUCACACCAUGGGAGUGGGCUGCAAAAGAAGUGGGUAGUUUAACCUUUCGAGGAGGACGCUCACCACUUGGUCAU